AUUGAACGCUGGCGGCAUGCCUUACACAUGCAAGUCGAACGGCAGCACGGGAGCAAUCCUGGUGGCGAGUGGCGAACGGGUGAGUAAAGUAUCGGAACGUGCCCAGUCGUGGGGGAUAACGUAGCGAAAGUUACGCUAAUACCGCAUACGAUCUAUGGAUGAAAGCGGGGGAUCGCAAGACCUCGCGCGAUUGGAGCGGCCGAUAUCAGAUUAGGUAGUUGGUGGGGUAAAGGCUCACCAAGCCGACGAUGUGUAGCUGGUCUGAGAGGACGACCAGCCACACGGGGACUGAGGCACGGCCCAGACUCCUGCGGGAGGCAGCAGUGGGGAAUUUUGGACAAUGGGCGAAAGCCUGAUCCAGCCAUGCCGCGUGCAGGAUGAAGGCCUUCGGGUUGUAAACUGCUUUUGUACGGAACGAAAAGGUUUGGGCUAAUAAGCUGAGCUCAUGACGGUACCGUAAGAAUAAGCACCGGCUAACUACGUGCCAGCCGCCGCCGUAA
rnacentral:rRNA from 1 species